UCGUUUGUUUAUGUGUUACAUAUUUGUUUUUCGUUCAUUUUUUUACAUAAAUAUAAGACCGUUAGUUUUCUCUUUUGAAUUGUUUUACAUUGUCUUAUCGGGGCCUUUUAUAGCUGACUAUGCGGUAUGGGCUUUGCUCAUUGUUGAAGGCCGUACGGUGACCUAUAUUUGUUAAUGUCUGUGUCAUUUUGGUCUUUUGUGGAUAGUUGUCUCAUUGGCUAUCAUACCACAUCUUCUUUUUUAUA
rnacentral:lncRNA from 1 species